ensembl:snRNA U6 U6 spliceosomal RNA
GUGCCUCGCUUCAGCAGCACAUAUACUAAAAUUGGAAUGAUACAGAGAAGAUUAGCAUGGCCCCUGUGCUGUACAAUAAAUGUAUUUAACACCAAUAAAAAAAUAAU